CCGAGUCUUAAUUGGGCGUUAAGUUGCAGGGUAUAGACCCGAAACCCGGUGAUCUAGCCAUGGGCAGGUUGAAGGGUGGGUAACACUAACUGGAGGACCGAACCGACUAAUGUUGAAAAAUUAGCGGAUGACCUGUGGCUGGGGGUGAAAGGCCAAUCAAACCGGGAGAUAGCUGGUUCUCCCCGAAAGCUAUUUAGGUAGCGCCUCGUGAAUUCAUCUCCGGGGGUAGAGCACUGUUUCGGCUAGGGGGCCAUCCCGGCUUACCAACCCGAUGCAAACUGCGAAUACCGGAGAAUGUUAUCACGGGAGACACACGGCGGGUGCUAACGUCCGUCGUGAAGAGGGAAACAACCCAGACCGCCAGCUAAGGUCCCAAAGUCAUGGUUAAGUGGGAAACGAUGUGGGAAGGCCCAGACAGCCAGGAUGUUGGCUUAGAAGCAGCCAUCAUUUAAAGAAAGCGUAAUAGCUCACUGGUCGAGUCGGCCUGCGCGGAAGAUGUAACGGGGCUAAACCAUGCACCGAAGCUGCGGCAGCGACACUGUGUGUUGUUGGGUAGGGGAGCGUUCUGUAAGCCUGUGAAGGUGUGUCGUGAGGCAUGCUGGAGGUAUCAGAAGUGCGAAUGCUGACAUAAGUAACGAUAAAGCGGGUGAAAAGCCCGCUCGCCGGAAGACCAAGGGUUCCUGUCCAACGUUAAUCGGGGCAGGGUGAGUCGACCCCUAAGGCGAGGCCGAAAGGCGUAGUCGAUGGGAAACGGGUUAAUAUUCCCGUACUUGGUGUUACUGCGAAGGGGGGACGGAGAAGGCUAUGUUGGCCGGGCGACGGUUGUCCCGGUUUAAGCGUGUAGGUGUGUGUUCCAGGUAAAUCCGGUUCACUUUAACACUGAGGCGUGACGACGAGGCACUACGGUGCUGAAGCAACAAAUGCCCUGCUUCCAGGAAAAGCCUCUAAGCAUCAGGUAACAUCAAAUCGUACCCCAAACCGACACAGGUGGUCAGGUAGAGAAUACCAAGGCGCUUGAGAGAACUCGGGUGAAGGAACUAGGCAAAAUGGUGCCGUAACUUCGGGAGAAGGCACGCUGACACGUAGGUGAAGUGAUUUACUCAUGGAGCUGAAGUCAGUCGAAGAUACCAGCUGGCUGCAACUGUUUAUUAAAAACACAGCACUGUGCAAACACGAAAGUGGACGUAUACGGUGUGACGCCUGCCCGGUGCCGGAAGGUUAAUUGAUGGGGUCAGCGCAAGCGAAGCUCCUGAUCGAAGCCCCGGUAAACGGCGGCCGUAACUAUAACGGUCCUAAGGUAGCGAAAUUCCUUGUCGGGUAAGUUCCGACCUGCACGAAUGGCGUAAUGAUGGCCAGGCUGUCUCCACCCGAGACUCAGUGAAAUUGAACUCGCUGUGAAGAUGCAGUGUACCCGCGGCAAGACGGAAAGACCCCGUGAACCUUUACUAUAGCUUGACACUGAACAUUGAGCCUUGAUGUGUAGGAUAGGUGGGAGGCUUUGAAGUGUGGACGCCAGUCUGCAUGGAGCCGACCUUGAAAUACCACCCUUUAAUGUUUGAUGUUCUAACGUGGACCCGUUACCCGGGUUGCGGACAGUGUCUGGUGGGUAGUUUGACUGGGGCGGUCUCCUCCUAAAGAGUAACGGAGGAGCACGAAGGUUGGCUAAUCCUGGUCGGACAUCAGGAGGUUAGUGCAAUGGCAUAAGCCAGCUUGACUGCGAGCGUGACGGCGCGAGCAGGUGCGAAAGCAGGUCAUAGUGAUCCGGUGGUUCUGAAUGGAAGGGCCAUCGCUCAACGGAUAAAAGGUACUCCGGGGAUAACAGGCUGAUACCGCCCAAGAGUUCAUAUCGACGGCGGUGUUUGGCACCUCGAUGUCGGCUCAUCACAUCCUGGGGCUGAAGUAGGUCCCAAGGGUAUGGCUGUUCGCCAUUUAAAGUGGUACGCGAGCUGGGUUUAGAACGUCGUGAGACAGUUCGGUCCCUAUCUGCCGUGGGCGCUGGAGAACUGAGGGGGGCUGCUCCUAGUACGAGAGGACCGGAGUGGACGCAUCACUGGUGUUCGGGUUGUCAUGCCAAUGGCACUGCCCGGUAGCUAAAUGCGGAAGAGAUAAGUGCUGAAAGCAUCUAAGCACGAAACUUGCCCCGA
rnacentral:rRNA from 1 species